rnacentral:rRNA from 1 species
UGAAGGCAGGGUAACACCUGCUGGAGGUCCGAACCGACUACUGUUGCAAAAGUAGCGGAUGAGCUGUGGGUAGGGGCGAAAGGCUAAACAAAUCCGGAAAUAGCUGGUUCUCCCCGAAAACUAUUUAGGUAGUGCCUCAAGUAUUACCUGCGGGGGUAGAGCACUGUUUUGGCUAGGGGGUCAUGGCGACUUACCAAACCAAGGCAAACUCCGAAUACCGCAGAGUACAGCUUGGGAGACAGAGCACCGGGUGCUAACGUCCGGACUCAAGAGGGAAACAACCCAGACCGCCAGCUAAGGUCCCUAAUAUUGGCUAAGUGGGAAACGAAGUGGGAAGGCUAAAACAGUCAGGAUGUUGGCUUAGAAGCAGCCACCAUUUAAAAAGUGCGUAACAGCUUACUGGUCGAGCAAUUUUGCGCCGAUAAUGAACGGGAGUAAGUUCUGCACCGAAGCAGUGGAACACGCUUGCGUGUUGGUAGGAGAGCGCUGUACGUCAGAUACAAGUCGCACCGCAAGGAGCGAUGUCGGGGCGUACAGGUGAUUAUGCCGGAAUGAGUAACGAUAAAGCAGGUGAGAAUCCUGCUCGCCGAAAGCCUAAGGUUUCCUGGGGAAGGUAAAUCCGCCCAGGGUUAGCCGGUACCUUAGUCGAGGC